rnacentral:lncRNA from 1 species
UCUAAAGGACAAUCUCAGAACACUGGACUUUAUAUGCCAUUACCAAUCCCAGAAGAUAUUUGGCAAGACUUGUCUAUGGAUUUUGUGCUAGGCUUACCUCGUACACAGCGAGGCGUCGAUUCUGUGUUUGUGGUCGUUGACAGAUUCUCCAAGAUGUCGCAUUUCAUCGCCUGCAAGAAGACUGCAGAUGCCUCUAACAUCGCCAAGUUAUUUUUUCGGGAAGUGGUACGUCUUCAUGGGGUUCCUAAGACAAUAAUUUCCGACAGAGAUACCAAGUUUCUGAGUCACUUCUGGAUUACACUUUGGAGAAUGUUUGGAACCAGCUUGAAACGGAGUUCUACAGCUCAUCCACAGACUGAUGGGCAAACCGAGGUGACGAAUAGAACUUUGGGGAAUAUGAUUCGAAGUGUUUGUGGAGAUAAACCGAAACAAUGGGAUCUGGCUUUACCUCAAGUGGAGUUUGCUUACAACAGUGCCGUGCACUCAGCUACAGGGAAAUCACCUUUUUCUUUGGUCUAUAGGGAAUAGGUGCCGUCUUAUCACAAGAAAAACGACCGAUAGCUUUCUUUAGUGAAAAGUUAAGUGAAGCUCGCCAAAAGUAGAGCACGUAUGAUCAAGAGUUAUAUGCGGUUUUUCGAGCUCUUCGACAAUGGGAGCAUUACUUGGUUCAGAGAGAGUUUGUUCUAUUUACAGACCACCAAGCUCUAAAGUAUCUUCACAGCCAGAAAGUGAUAAAUAAGAUGCAUGCUCGUUGGGUAAGUUUUCUGCAAAAGUUUCCUUUCAUUAUUCAGCAUAAGUCUGGGACUCUUAACAAGGUGGCAGACGCCUUGAGUAGAAGAGCUUCCUUACUCACUAUCUUAGCACAAGAGGUUGUGGGUUUCGAGUUUCUGAAGGAGUUGUAUGAAUGUGAUGUUGAAUUCAAGGAGUUAUGGGGCAAAUGUAAUGGAAAGCAUCCUUCGGCAGAUUUCCACAUACGAGAUGGUUAUCUUUUUAAAGGAGACAGGCUGUGCAUUCCUUGCUCGUCAUUACGAGAAAAGUUGAUUCGCGAUUUGCAUGGUGGUGGCCUUAGUGGUCAUUUGGGAAGAGACAAGACCAUUGCUAGCUUGGAGACAAGGUUUUAUUGGCCAUAUUUAAGGAGAGAUGCGGGUGCUAUAGUUAAAAGGUGUUAUAUCUGUCAGGUUUCUAAAGGACAAUCUCAGAACACUGGACUUUAUAUGCCAUUACCAAUCCCAGAAGAUAUUUGGCAAGACUUGUCUAUGGAUUUUGUGCUAGGCUUACCUCGUACACAGCGAGGCGUCGAUUCUGUGUUUGUGGUCGUUGACAGAUUCUCCAAGAUGUCGCAUUUCAUCGCCUGCAAGAAGACUGCAGAUGCCUCUAACAUCGCCAAGUUAUUUUUUCGGGAAGUGGUACGUCUUCAUGGGGUUCCUAAGACAAUAAUUUCCGACAGAGAUACCAAGUUUCUGAGUCACUUCUGGAUUACACUUUGGAGAAUGUUUGGAACCAGCUUGAAACGGAGUUCUA